AAAUUGAAGAGUUUGAUCAUGGCUCAGAUUGAACGCUGGCGGCAGGCCUAACACAUGCAAGUCGAACGGUAACAGGAAGAAGCUUGCUUCUUUGCUGACGAGUGGCGGACGGGUGAGUAAUGUCUGGGAAACUGCCUGAUGGAGGGGGAUAACUACUGGAAACGGUAGCUAAUACCGCAUAACGUCGCAAGACCAAAGAGGGGGACCUUCGGGCCUCUUGCCAUCGGAUGUGCCCAGAUGGGAUUAGCUAGUAGGUGGGGUAACGGCUCACCUAGGCGACGAUCCCUAGCUGGUCUGAGAGGAUGACCAGCCACACUGGAACUGAGACACGGUCCAGACUCCUACGGGAGGCAGCAGUGGGGAAUAUUGCACAAUGGGCGCAAGCCUGAUGCAGCCAUGCCGCGUGUAUGAAGAAGGCCUUCGGGUUGUAAAGUACUUUCAGCGGGGAGGAAGGGAGUAAAGUUAAUACCUUUGCUCAUUGACGUUACCCGCAGAAGAAGCACCGGCUAACUCCGUGCCAGCAGCCGCGGUAAUACGGAGGGUGCAAGCGUUAAUCGGAAUUACUGGGCGUAAAGCGCACGCAGGCGGUUUGUUAAGUCAGAUGUGAAAUCCCCGGGCUCAACCUGGGAACUGCAUCUGAUACUGGCAAGCUUGAGUCUCGUAGAGGGGGGUAGAAUUCCAGGUGUAGCGGUGAAAUGCGUAGAGAUCUGGAGGAAUACCGGUGGCGAAGGCGGCCCCCUGGACGAAGACUGACGCUCAGGUGCGAAAGCGUGGGGAGCAAACAGGAUUAGAUACCCUGGUAGUCCACGCCGUAAACGAUGUCGACUUGGAGGUUGUGCCCUUGAGGCGUGGCUUCCGGAGCUAACGCGUUAAGUCGACCGCCUGGGAGUACGGCCGCAAGGUUAAAACUCAAAUGAAUUGACGGGGGCCCGCACAAGCGGUGGAGCAUGUGGUUUAAUUCGAUGCAACGCGAAGAACCUUACCUGGUCUUGACAUCCACGGAAGUUUUCAGAGAUGAGAAUGUGCCUUCGGGAACCGUGAGACAGGUGCUGCAUGGCUGUCGUCAGCUCGUGUUGUGAAAUGUUGGGUUAAGUCCCGCAACGAGCGCAACCCUUAUCCUUUGUUGCCAGCGGUCCGGCCGGGAACUCAAAGGAGACUGCCAGUGAUAAACUGGAGGAAGGUGGGGAUGACGUCAAGUCAUCAUGGCCCUUACGACCAGGGCUACACACGUGCUACAAUGGCGCAUACAAAGAGAAGCGACCUCGCGAGAGCAAGCGGACCUCAUAAAGUGCGUCGUAGUCCGGAUUGGAGUCUGCAACUCGACUCCAUGAAGUCGGAAUCGCUAGUAAUCGUGGAUCAGAAUGCCACGGUGAAUACGUUCCCGGGCCUUGUACACACCGCCCGUCACACCAUGGGAGUGGGUUGCAAAAGAAGUAGGUAGCUUAACCUUCGGGAGGGCGCUUACCACUUUGUGAUUCAUGACUGGGGUGAAGUCGUAACAAGGUAACCGUAGGGGAACCUGCGGUUGGAUCACCUCCUUA
rnacentral:rRNA from 1 species